CUUGGUCAUUUAGAGGAAGUAAAAGUCGUAACAAGGUUUCCGUAGGUGAACCUGCGGAAGGAUCAUUAUCUAUUCCAUGGGGUGCGGUCGCGGCCCUCGGCGGGAGCAACAGCUACCGUCGGGCGGUAGAGGUAACACUUUCACGCGCCGCAUGUCUGAAUCCUUUUUUUACGAGCACCUUUCGUUCUCCUUCGGCGGGGCAACCUGCCGUUGGAACCUAUCAAAACCUUUUUUUUGCAUCUAGCAUUAUCUGUUCUGAUACAAACAAUCGUUACAACUUUCAACAAUGGAUCUCUUGGCUCUGGCAUCGAUGAAGAACGCAGCGAAAUGCGAUAAGUAGUGUGAAUUGCAGAAUUCAGUGAAUCAUCGAAUCUUUGAACGCACAUUGCGCCCCUUGGUAUUCCAUGGGGCAUGCCUGUUCGAGCGUCAUCUACACCCUCAAGCUCUGCUUGGUGUUGGGCGUCUGUCCCGCCUCUGCGCGCGGACUCGCCCCAAAUUCAUUGGCAGCGGUCCUUGCCUCCUCUCGCGCAGCACAUUGCGCUUCUCGAGGUGCGCGGCCCGCGUCCACGAAGCAACAUUACCGUCUUUGACCUCGGAUCAGGUAGGGAUACCCGCUGAACUUAAGCAUAUCAAUAAGCGGAGGA
rnacentral:rRNA from 1 species